rnacentral:lncRNA from 1 species
CCCUUUUUCCUCAUCUCCCUCCCUGGGAACUCAACCUAGCCAAAGGCUUCAGGUACCACCCUCAGAGGGGGCACAGAGGUUGAUAUCCCCUACAAUCAAUGGCAUCAGGCCACGCACAGUGGCUCACACCUGUAAUCUCAGCAGUUUGGGAGGCUGAAGCAGGUGGAUCGCCCGAGGUCAGGAGUUUGAGACCAGCCUGGUCAACAUGGCAAAACCCUGUAUCUACUAAAAAUACAAAAAUUAGCUGGGCAUGGGGUGGGCACCCUAUAAUCCCAGCUACUCAGGAGGCUGAGGCAGAAGAAUAGCUUGAAUCUGGGGGGUGUGGCAUGGAGGUUGCAGUGAAUAUGACAAUCAAUAAAAUAUGACAAUACUCUGGUUUUGAUUCUGCCCUCAUGAAUGGAUUAAUGCUAUUAUUGUGGGAGUGGGUUCCUUAUAAAAGGAUGAGUUUGGCCCCCUCUUGGCCUCUCUCUUGCCCUUCCACUUUUUGCCAUGGGAUAACACAGCAAGAAGGCCCUCGCCAGGUGCUAUCUUCUUGAUCUUGGACUUCCCAGUUUCCAGAACUGUGAGAAAUAAAUUUCUAUUCAUUAUAAAUUACCUAGUCUGUGGCAUUCUGUUAUAGCAGCAAAAAAUGGAGGAAGACACACUCUUUUUGUGGUAAGGUUAGGAAUAAGUUUUUAAUCAUCACUAUAAUCUUUUGGUUGUUUAAAGAGAUUGGAACAUGGAAGAAAAUCUAACAUAGUAGACAGCCUGGCAUAUUACACUUGCAAUUUUAAUUUGAAACAUUUUAGCUUGACUCCUUUAAAUUGAGCUUGCAAAGUUUUAAAAUUUAAAAUACAGGCCCUGUGUUGGCUGUCACAGUAUCUGGAUUGUAGCAAAGUCAGUUGUGGGAAUGCCCAUUGAAAGAUUUCAGAGUGUAUUAUGUAGAGUCAGUCAUAUUGAACUAUACAGUUGUACAAUUAGUCACCCAGAAAUUCCAAUACUAUGUUUUUCUCAGUUUGCAAGU